CGGGCAGCAGAGCCAGCUUCCCGUGUCCCAUGAGUGUUGGCAAUCAUUGGCCAUAGCACCAGGGAGAGAAAAAUCAAGAAUCCAUCUUGGAAGUAACUCAGACUGAGCUCAUCAGCUUCUGGUACCUGCCAAAUGUAAGUAUAUAAUAUUAACUUUUCCUCUCCCCCUAAAGCCUUAGUGUCUGCCUGAGGUCUUAUCAAGCAAAGAGAUUUACUUAAUGUAUGUAUAUAUGGUGCUCGAUAUUUUGUGGUAUCUUCUUACUUUACUGUGUUCUUUUGUAUUGAAUGGGUACCUCUGUAUUGUAACUGGCUCUGUGUAUUCUAUACAAAUCUCUGCAUUGUACUCAUUCUGUGUAAUGUAUAUGGAUAUCUAUAUUGUACCUACCUUUGAGUAGUAUUGUAUGAGUUGUGUAGAUUUAGUUUUAGCAUACAUGACUAGUAAUAGUUUUUGAUGGUCAAGCUUUUUAAACAGAUGGGUAUUAUGAGAACGCUAUACUAUACUUAAAACCAAUUAAAGAAUGUCCCCAUGCCUGAAAUGUGUCCAAGGCACUCAGAGUAGAGUAAACGCGGUUUGAUAAAUUGGGUAACAUUUAUCAAGACAUUUCAGUGGUAGAGAGGAGAAAUAAAACAAGUUUAUAAAAACAUAAACUAUAGAACAUCCAGUGUUAGUGAAGCAUUGCUUGGACCUUUCAGUGGCAUCACUAGGGCUGGUGUCAACCGAUGAGGUAACUCAUGGUGUCAACCCCUCCACGAACUUCCUUCCUUGCCAGACCAUGACUAUGAGCUAAGUUCCUUAAUGUGAAAUUAACCUCAUCACUGUCUCAUCUAAUGCUGCUGGAUUCAUUUUUCAUUUUUCCUUGCUGUUUACAGUAAACAUUAAGUGCAGUACGUAGAGUUUAUUUGACGGAGAAAGGAAAUCAGUUAUUCCUUUUAGGUGGUUCCUUUUAGGUUGUUUGAGUUCCCAGUUGAUGAGUAUGAAUUCUAUUUAGUGUAUCAGUGAACACUUCUAUGUAUGAUAGAGUAGCACAUGACGUGAUAUUUAUCCUGGAAUAAUAGAUAGACCUGGCAUCCAUUCUUCAGGUAUAUGAGUGGCUAAUGUCUUUUUGUCUCAACCUAUAUUUGAUCAGAACAGUCUUUUUAAGUGACUUGUGGUUUACCAAAACCCCAUCAUUCUCUUACCCAUUAUGACCAUUGAAGAAACUCCAUUGUGUGCCCUCACAUUAUUUUGGCACAUGCUGUUUCUGACAACAGGCCACUUUGAGAGUGUUCAGCCACACGUGCGAUAUGAUUGGUGGAUCUGGAUUGCACGGUCUUGUGAAUAGCAAUAUCCAUCCUCAUGUUUUGAAACCCAGAGUUUGGUUGUCAAACAGCUCUCACCCUCCAAAAUCAGCAUGUAGAAGGUAAGUAUCUGCUGGUUUUAUUCUCUCUGAUCCGAUGGCCUAAAGCUACCAUUUUCUGAUGGUGUCACCAAGUACGGUCUGCACUGCCCUAGUGAUGCUGCUGAGUACCUCCCAUUUGGUGAAAUACCCUUUUGCCAUAUCUUCCCAAUAGCACUUUUACAAAGAAAAAAUAUUGCUAUUGCUAGGCCCUGAGUUCACUGAGACACAGCUGCUCUAGAAAUUUGUACAAUUGAAGCCCUUAAAUUGUUUUAUGUCCUCCUUAUAAUUUCCAUUUUUUUUCUUACUACAUUUAAUAAAUGAAGCAUGGUUUGGAAAAGGGGAGGAAUCCAGCUAUAACAUUGCAUGGAGCUUCCAGAACAGGAGGUAGCACUAAUCAAAAUGGUGCUUUCAGGGCUGGACUGGGAAAAUAUUUGGCCCAGGCAUUUUUUUUAAUCACAGUGGCCCACUGAGAAGGGGGUGGGGCCAGAUAGGGUGUGUUUUGUCAAUAUCAAUGACAAGCAGGCCCCAACAUAAAGUGAGCAUGUUGGUUCAAUGCUCUUCCAGGGCAGACCAUGCGCAGAGAAAAAGGGCCUGUAUUUGUUCUGCACAGCGCAAGCAAAUUUAAUAACAUACUUGCACUGUGUUUGCUUGAAACUUGUCUCUGGUGUCUCCAAAAAUGGGAUACCAGGAGACAAAAAUGCCAGGACAGAGUAUUGUGCAUGUGUUUGGACCUGCUUGUGGGAUUGUGUGUGUGUAGAGUGAGCUGAUUGUGGUGUGGUUUUGUGUAAAUAGGUUGGUUUCAGUCAUGUUGUCUUUGUGGUGUAAUGUAAUGUAUGUGUGUCCUAGGUGUUGUAGAGAGUGUGUGUAUAUAGGGAUCUAGUGUGUGCAUGUGUGUAGGUGAUCCAAAGUUGGUAAAGGAUCUAGUGUAUGCCUGGGUAUCUAGAGAAUCAUAGGAGUUGUAGUUCAGCAACAUCUGGAGAGCUAGAAUUUGGAAAACCCUGCUCUAUAUGCCCAAACUGCUCCAUUAAGCCCAAGUUAUUUUGUCUCUGUAGUGUCCCUUUAAUUCAGGUAUAGGUAGCUACAGUUUGAGUUACAAUUUAAUUUUUUUCCAGAUUACUGAUGUAUCGAACCAUUGUUUUACUAUACUUAUUUAAAAAAAAAAAUUAAAAACAUUUUGAACUGAUUAUGCUAGCUUAUUAUCAAUGGAAUGAUAAAUAAUCGUUAAAAAUUAGACCCAGUAAUCUUUUGAGUGCCCCAUCAUGCAACAUGUACAUUGCAAGAGUAAGUAAUUUCUAGACCCCUGUAACAACACAUUGCAACAUCACUUAAAGGAGCUUAUGUUUCAUCACAAUCCAAAUACAGAAGUACCAUUAUCUUGACCACGUGAUCGUAAAAGGAUUGCAGAAGGCUGAUGUACUUAGUUGUGGUAAUGUAGGUCCACCAUUAGUAAAUAAGUGAAACAUCAGCACUUAAAAAAAGAGUUCAUGAAUCAUUUAAACAUAAGCUCUCAUAAGCUGGGCCCUCAUUAUCUACUAUUUUCUGUAACUGCUGCUGUAUUUCAUUUUGUCUCCAACCCCUUUAAAAAUUCAAUAUGUUAAAUAUAUUUUUUCAUUUACUUUAUAAUAUAAGUAUUACAAAAAAAAAAACAAUACGUACAAAAGUUUCCUUCUUUUCCCUGCUAUUAUCCUUAAAAUAUGAUAUUUGGGGCUACAACGGUCAGUCACGCUGCAUCAUGCAUGACGUCACCACCUUGUCUACCGCCAACACCAUACAAGAGCUGGAAAGGCUCAUAGUCUAAAUGUGCUUUCUAUAGGGAUAAACAUGGUUUCUUGAAUGAAUAGUAACUCAUAAUAGUUUGAGAAACAGAUUUUGCACUUUUUACUGUUUGUAGUCUUAUAGCCACAUACAGACUUAUGUUAAACAUUGUUUGGGACUCUGUAUGCUUUUAUAAAACACAGGAUUUUGUUUUCUUAAAAAAAUACCUGCGUCUGUAUGUUUGGAAUAUUCACCUUUAUGCUCACCCUGACAGCACAUCCAAAGAUACUCUCUUCCACUCUGCUCAAUUCAUACUAGGCCAUGUAUACAUCAGUUUAACUGCACUGAAACUUGGCUGGACAUGCAUACUUGCACCUUUUAGUAAAGGCAAGUUGAUGUUGAUGUCAGCCGUUUGACACGUCCUGUUUGACUAUUCUGUACUCAAGUUUCCAGAUUUGGCUUGUCAUUAAAUUUUAUGGCUUCUGGUAUUCUGAUCCAGUGAAACUUGUGACUACAUCCUUUCCUCUAUCCAUCUAUUGGCUAAUGGCUGACUAGCAAGUUCUGGCCAGGUACCACAUAAAUAUCCUCAUGCAGACAAGGGAUUUUUAACAAUUUUCUCGCAGACUGCCUCCGGGCCCUGAUUUAAUUCAUUCAGACUGGAUUUUAGCCAUCCGGCGGCGUUCAGUAAAGCUGAAAUACUGACCAAAUUCAUUCCCAUUCAAUACCUGAUUUACAAAAUACAGACAUUGCUAAAUCCCAUCAACAGUGACUGGGUUUUGUAGUCUGAAGGACCACAUACAGCAGUGAAUGGCUUUGCCCCAUUUGGUACAGGGCCAUUCAGACUUUAGUUAAUAACCCUGUAAGUCUCUUUAUUUCUGCAUUUGGCCCAUAUUUGCCUUUUAGGCUUCAUAACAACACACAUUUAUUAUCUUAUAAUAUAUAUCCUCCUAAAUGAAUCUACAUGGUAUUGAAGUAUCUAUGUCACUAAAUCCAAAUUUUACCUAAUAUGCUGCUACAUAUGUGUCUAAAUUCAAUUUUACUUUUUCCUGAGGACUAAAGUUAUAUAUAGUAGUCAAAUUGACAGAACUUGACAACGGGCUGGACUUAAAGUAAGGUUCGGUGUCAGUUGUCCCACAGAAGGGCAAAAAGCAGACAUCACAAACAGAGGAGCAUAAAAUGGCUGCUCCAAGAUAUUGAGAUGCAGCACAAGGAAAAAUAUAAAUAUAAAUAUCAAUAAGGCAAGUGGAAAUAUGGGGGAUGAUUAUAACCUUUAAAGGUAAGGAAAGUAAACAGGUAAUAAACACAUGACAGGUCAACUUUAAUUUGUAAUCAUAACAGUUAUUGUUCUGUACAUAUGUGCAUGAUUUAAACUUUCUCUUGGUGCUGAAAGCAGCGUGUGUGUGUGUGUGUGUGUGUGUGUAUAUAUGUAUGUGUGUGUGUAUAUGUAUAUAUAUAUAUAUAAUUGGCACAAAUGAUUCAAGAUUACUUGCAUUCAUAUAUCUUUAAAUAUACACUUCUGACUAUGGAGGCCCAGAGAGGCCAUAUAUUUUUUAUAUUUUUCUGAUGUAAUACCUCAAGAAAACAACUUGUUUGCUUGAGACAAGUCAUAAAAAAUAUUACAAUACAUGGCCUCACUGGACUUCCAUAUCUGACUAUCUGACAGCUUCUGAAUUAAAUUUAAUUAAACUCUGAUAAUUAAAAGGUUGCAUUGACCCAUCCAAUAAUAAAACCUAUUGGGUAAUUUAGAUCUCACAUGUAGAACACUAACCAUUACUGCGCAACCUCUUGGAAUUCCUCAGAUUAUAUUUUUCUUACCUGACACCUUUGUAGUGUGGUCCAGCGUCUGAAAUCAUUAUGCCUGUACCAGCUACAAAAUCAUUUUCUUCACAAUUGCUACAUCUUAUGAACUUUGUCACAGAAUUACUGUUUAUAAAUAAAACCUUGGCAGAACAUGGUGAGUAACUCUGUAACUAAAAGUAUUUUCUUUGUGUCUGUAACACUACAAGUGAUACUUCUAAUGGACUGGUGCAAUAUUAUGUUACAUGGGCUUAAUUUUAUUUCCGAUUGAGCACUAGAUACAUUCCUUGUUUCCAUCGAGCUUACAUUAUUAUAAACACCUUUUUUCUUUUAAAAAUGUAUUCGUUUUCCAGAACUAGUUUAUUUUACUAAAUAGAUCUGCAUCAUGCCCAUCAUGUCAGUGGCGGAACUGACAAAGAAAGGGCAUGGAGCAAGAAUCACUUUGGGCCCCCUCUAUUUCAAAAGUUUUCCAAAAGUGUAGAUCGCCAUCUAUGCCAAGUGUAAGAUGCCCCAUCUACCAUUUGCCCAUCCUUGCAGGGUUGUAUUUAGUACUGAGCAAUGUUUGCUUGUUUGAAUAUAAGCAUGUUGGCAUUUGAAUGCAGGUGUGUGUUUUUACGAGCUGUUGCCAUUUAAAAGCAGCAGUGUUCUUGUGUGUAGUGUUUGCUUUUGAAUGUAGGGGUAUGUUUGUAUGUAGUGUUGACAUUUGAAUGCAGGCUUACAUCUGUGUGUAGAGUUGGUUUUUGAAUGCGUGUGUUUAUACAGAGGUGUGUUUGAAUUAAGUGUUGACAAUUGAAUACAGGGGUGUGUUUGUAUGUAGUGUUGACAUUUGAAUGCACAGUAGUAUUUGUGUGUAUAUGGACAUGCAUGCAAAUAUAAAUAAACACACAGUGACAUUCAUACAGAUACACAAACAUGCACUACAAAUACUGACAAACAUACAGAAACACAGUGACACACAUGCAAAUACACAGACACACACAUACAAAUACUGACACAUAGACAGACACAUAGAUACACAGAGUGACACACAUACAGACACACAUGCUGGGCAGAAUUUACAAUGUUUAUCCACCCUCCUGUUUCCUGCCUUUUGGGUGCAGGAGGGUGGUCUCUGCUGAGGCUUUUGGGAGUCAGAGGCUGGCUCUCUUAGGGCCGCAGCACACAACUGAGUCACUGAUGACACAUGCCCUUGAGUGCAUUAACCACCUGAUGGGUCCCUUAGCAUACAGGCUGGGGUUGGGAAAAAAUAAAUAUCCCCAAGCUAGAACUCAUUUAACAGAACAGGACCAAGCACCUGCUAAAUCAGAACAUGUUGACCCUGGUACCACCUUUGUGCAGCAGCAUUUUAUUUCUUUAUUUUAGUGUGUCAUUUACUAAACUGAGAAUUGUGGGUUUCUGAAAGUGAAAUCAAAUUUAAGGCAAAAAUAGCCGAAUUGUAUAUAUAGCUGACUUUUCCAAUUGGACUAUUUUGGCUUAAAUUAAGACAUUCAUUUUCAGUUCACGGCAUUUCUUCCUUGGUAAAUAACCCUGAGUGUACGCAUUUGCUUUUGUGCAUCUGUGAAUGUAUUAUUUUGGGGUUUUGCAGUAUAUGUGAAUACGCCCCCACAUGCAAACAUCAACACUACAUAAAAUUCACCCCCUACUUUAAACACCAAUUCUACAUGUAAAUACACACACACACACACACACACACACACACACACACACACACACACUAACUUGUAUUAAAACACAAAGACACUGCACACAAAUACAACCCUACAAGGAUAGGUAAACUAUAGGUCCCCAGCUGGCAAGGAAUUGUGGGCAUUGUACAACAGAUGAGGGUCUUUACCUUUUGGCUACCCCUUUCUAUAGAGAACAAGGUUUUUCUCUUCAUUAGUUCUACUACUCCUAACCAUAGUCUGCACUGAUAUAUCCACCUUAAACUGUUUAUUUGUGCAAGGCUGAAAUAAUGGAUUAUAUCAAUAUACUCAGUUGCAGGUAAGUAAAGCCAAAUAUAUCAUGCACAAAGUUUUAGGUAUGAUACAUUGAAGCAAAAAAGACAAGGUUGAUUGUGCAAUGUUUACCAAGAAGGCAACAUUCUCUGAAUUCAGAGGUAUCCAAAUAUAUAUCCAGAAAGUCAUCCAGAUCAAGUUUCACAAGUUAUUCAUGCAUGUCUAGAUCGGCAAGAGUUUUUAAAAUAAAUUGAAACUGAAUUUAACAUUUUAGUCCAUAAUAGCGUAAUUUGAACGUUGUUAUUAUUAGCAUUUAUAUAGCACCAACAUAUUCCGCAGCCAUUUACAAAUAGCUAUAGAAAGGGGAAGAAGUCAAGAAGGCUUUGCUCAUACAAUCUUACAUUCAGUGGCUGAACUAAUGCCGAUGCAUCUGCUUAGGGAGCCCAUUGGGUGGCCCAUGCACUAACCAGGGACCCGGUCUUGCUCUAUGGCCCUUUAAUAGCACAACCAGGCCCCUUUAUAGAUGGCAGUGCUGAGAGAAAGUGACAGGCUUAAAUUGUGUACAUUUUACCUGUAUGUGUAUCUAUCUGUGUGUCUGUGGAUCUAUCAGGUGUCUGUAUGCGUGUGCAAGUGUGUCUAUGUAUCUGUAUGUGUGUCUGUGUGUGUGUAUGUGUGUCAGUGUAUCUAUCUGUGUGUAUGUAUGUGGGCCUAAUGUGUCUUCAGGGACCCGGUCGUGCUCUAUGGCCCUUUAAAGAUGGCAGUGCUGAGAGAAAGUGACGGGCUUAAAUUGUGUACAUUUUGCCUGUAUGUGUAUCUAUCUGUGUGUCUGUGCAUCUAUCAGGUGUCUGUAUGUGUGUGCAAGUGUGUCUAUGUAGCUGUAUGUGUAUCUGUGUGUAUGUAUUUCAGUGUAUCUAUACAUGUGUCUGUGUAUCUGUCACUGUGUGCCCCAGUGCAUCUGAGUGUGUUUGUAUAUCUGUAUGUGUAUCAGUAUUUGUAUGAGUGUCAUUGUGUGUAUCUGUGUAUCUGCAUGUGUUCUAUUGUGUGUGUGACUGUGCACCAUAAUGUUGUGUCAGUAUGUUUAUCUGUGUAUCUGUUAGUGUGUAUGUUUGUGUUUGUUUGUGGAUCUGUGUGUGUAUCUGUAUGUCAGUGUAUCUGCAUGUGUAUUCAGAUGUGUGUAUGUGACAGUGUAAAUGUAUAUGUGCAUUCAUCUCUCCAACACUACACACAUAUUACCAUAUAACAUACCCCUACAUUCAUACACACACAUAUUCUAUACAAAAACAUGCUUACAUCCAAACAAAUUCUGAAUAACAAAUCAAAAUGAACAUUCUUGUCCAUUGCAUGUUUUGUUUGGUUUGUGAUUCGGCUCCAUUUAGGCUUUGAGUUUGGGAAUUCUGGCAAUCAACUGUUCGGCCCAAAUUCAGACAAAUUGCAGUUAAGUAUAAGUCAAGUUAACAUGGCUUCUAUUUAACUGCAAUUUGUCUGAAUUUGGGCCGAACAGUUUAAAAUAUUUAGAUAUUGUGAUGGACCACUGGCACUCCGACUGAGUACCUCCGCCAAUCGAUGCUCCUAGUGCUUGCUGAGGUCUCCAAGCACUCCAACCGACACCAUCAGCACUGCAGACCCCACUUCCAGCGAUGCAGCUGCGCCGGGGUCUCGCUGUCUCCACCCACCCUGGACCCAAGGCCAGGAUCCAGCUUCCAGUGGGUGAACCUCUCUUUCCCCAGAGAGCAGGAACAGGAAGAAGCUCUUAGCAGAGCUUAGUGAUCAUACCCUGGGGAGUAUAGUGAUUAUAGCAAUCCCCAGAGUGUAGUUCUCCAAUCCCCCAAACAUGAGCCAAGGCUUCAAGAAAGGUACAAGAUGAUCUGAUUUUAAUGACCACACACUGGCUUUUAUGCAAGUCCCCAUGCAAGGGGACAUCCCACAGGGUGGGCCACAGUACAACCAAUCAUUUACAGGAAAACCGUAAAACACACCCAGCACCAACAUACAAUCCCUCCCCUCUGCCUGUGAUAUAAUUACUGAACACAAUGGGUUAAUGUAAUUUAUCACAGGCAGGAAAAAUACACUUUUUAUACAUAUACUGUAACUUUAAAAAUAUGCAUCAUAUUCACAUAGAACAUACAUAUUCAGAAUCAGCAUACUUUAAAUAUAAACAUAACCAAAAAUCAUGCAAAUCCUUCCAUUAGUUCAAAAGUUAGUUGGAAGUCCUUUGUGACCAAUGAAGCAUGGCUUUUCUGCCCAAAACUAGUUCCACAGUGUCUUCUAUCCUGGAGAUAAUUGGGAAGUAAUCCAAUUAUCUUCAAGGACAGAGGCAAAGCUCCAUUGAACACAUGGCAGCAAAAAGACAUAAAAUUACACAAUGUUACAAUUACUACAUAAAACAUAUACAUGCAACAUUAUCCCCAGAUAGCUUAGAUCUGAGCACACAUUAUUACGAAAUGGCGCUCAGAUCACCUACAUACAGUUCAAUCACCAUGGAGCCAAAGUCUUUUGUUACACAAAUAGGCUCCAUGGCAUAGCUAUCUGGGGUAGCACUAUUACCAUACUGAAAGUCCAGAACGCCCCAGCAGAAAUACACAAAUAAACCUUUCUGCAGGGGAAAAUACAGCUAUCAGCACAUGGACCAUAGUCGGAAGGCAGGAGGCAAGCCAGUAGUCCCCUCCAGGCACAAGUGUUGAAGGGCAGUUAGUCACAGAUAUCAACUCCCCUCCGGUCCAGUGCCUUAUGUCAGACAUAUCGUCAAACUAUAAACUUGGCUUAUACUUUUCUCAUCCACUGUAGUACAGCUCAUUGCGAAGGGUAGGGCAAUUGAAAGAAGAGCAAGGGCAGAGUGUGUUCGAACCUGAGAUGGGUGUUACAGAAGUGUGACACCUAUGAUGCUGAGAACAUGAGGCACUGGACCAGAGGGGAGUUGAUAUCUAAAUAUUUUCUAUUAAAUAUAUGUAUCUCUGUGUUAAACAUGGAGCGCCAAUGUUAAUAGGAUAGACAUAGGGAUUUGUGCCCAAAAUAGGCAAACUUGGUAGGUAUGCAAACCUCAUCCUAUUAGCAGUGAUUCCCUUAACAGGUCAAAACUGAAAAUCUGUUCUGCAGUGCAGUGUGAAGGGAUCACCAUAUACGUUUCACCAUAUCCAUGCUUGCAAGAAGCUGAGUUUUAGUAGUGAGGAGCAGAGGGGAAAUCACUCUAAUUUUACAUUUUGGGGGCAUCAAUUUAGCACAAUCAUGAGGUGAGAAACUGCAGGCUGAGUUCACUAAGGAUCCCCCACAGUGAGACUGCUGGAACUUGAAUCCCCCAUGAGCCCCAUACCAGAUGAGAAAUAGGUGACUCUGUGCUCAGAAUGAAUACAGGCUAAAAUGAGACCUGAGGUAUUCUCGAGCCCAGUCGGGAGCUAGAUCCUGGAUCUGCUUCACCCCUGAUGAUGCCCCUGUUUUUGGUUCUUAGAGUGUCCCUUUGAACUUUGCAUUUUUGUCCAGUAUUCAUGGUGCAAAUGACUUUUGUGACAGCCUUCUUGUCUGGCAUUCACAUGUUGCCAUAAUAAGGCUUAUGUCAAUAUAGCUAUGCCACAAAGUUGCCAAUACUGGACUAAUAGACUGGCAGCACUAUAGCACCAUUUAUAUAGCUGGCAAACAUAAAUUGCAGCAAACAAGCGCUAUAUAAGGUUAUUAAUAAGGGGCGCUCAUGAUAGGGAGGGUUAGAAGUAGGAUAAUUAAGAUUAAUUGAGGGAAUUAAGAUUAACAAUCUCAAAAUUCUCGCUAGGGAAGCUCCUGCUAACGAUAUACACCCCAACUCUAGAUUCAUCUAAUCCAAUGUUCCUCAUCCAAACCUAGCUCUUCAACCCUAUAUCAUCUCCCUAACCUUAUCCUUGCAGUGUUGUUAUAAAUAGCACAUAUUUUAACUGUGCUGUAAUAUAAUUCCUUUUGCAUGAAUGUAGUGACAUUUCAGCAUCAGUAUUAACGAUGUGCCACUUCUACAAUGAUGAUUUACAAGCAUACCGAGUAAAAUAUGAUAUUUUGUUGUUUUUAUGGGGAGAGGUAGAGGAAUGGAAAAACCAUAAGUAGCUGCUAUUAUCGCAGUCACAAAUGAUGCAAAAGGUAUCACACAAUAAGUAAAAGCUACACUCCACUACUCAAAUACAAAAUUAAUAAAAAUCACUGUUUAGUAGAUAUACUAAAAUAGAUAUACCCCAUAUUAAAAUUUGUAUGCAUUUAAUUAUUUUUUGUUCAUUGGUGCAGAUUUAAUGUACAAGCUGGGGCAAACAGCAUUUAAAAGUUGCAGUUCUCUUGUCUGCAGCCCUUGCCCUCACCUUCAAACCCCACCCAGCCUUUCUGUGGCUGUCCAAUCACAGACUUUACAAUGAACUCAAUGAGAAGUCUUUGCAAGGCAGGUGCUCUGAGCAAUUGCUGCCUCUUGAGUUUAGUUUCACUGAGCUAAACAACCAGGAAGUAACAGGAAAGGUUGUAUGUUCGAAAGGUGUAACCAGGUUAAUUUAUAAAGGUGUCCUUUUUUAUUGAAAUCUACACUUUUUGCAAAAUGAAAAAAAGAGGACACACUCUUCACACAUAAACCUUUUCAGCAAGCUAAAGUGCUUUAGGGGUCUGGAGUGUCCCUUUAAUCCCUUAAGGACCAAACUUCUGGAACAAAAGGGAAUAAUGACAUGUCACACGUCAUGUGUCCUUAAUGGGUUAAAGGGGUACUGAUGGCUGAUGUACAAAUCGUUAAGCAAACCACCAUGUGCACAGUAGGAUUGCAGAGGGAGCUGUUUAAGACCACAUAUGUAAAUUAUUUUUACAUUUUGUCUGACUGACAAAAUAUUGGAAACUUCAUAUAUUUCUUAAGUACACAGCUUUGCUAAUCAUUAGAGCAGAGAAAAUAGCAAUCAAUACGCUUGUUAAAUAUAAAGAUAUUGCAUAGCCGUUUUGGAGAAUUGAUAUUCUCUCGGGGGGGGAGGGGGAGGAGGGAGUUAUUCUCUAACCACCUAACUGAAGUGUACUGAAAGCUGAAAUGCAACAUUUAGGAAAUAUAGUCCAGCUAUAGAUGAGUAGAAGAAUUGUAUUGAAUUAGCUAGUUUAGCCUAAUUGCAAUUACCCCUCUAUAAAUGAGAUAAUUUAUAUGUAAAAAUAAGAACAUUGUAUCUAUCUAUCUAUGACUAUUUUGUCAAAUUUACACAUUUCAUCCCACAUGAAAUGCGAAAGGUUAGAUACUUCACUAGACAGAAGGGCCGGCGCAUCCUAUAGGCGACUUAGGCAGUUGCCUAGGAAUGGGCGCAAGGAGCACCGGUCCCCCUCACGUUGCAGCCGCCUGAGCCCUCUGUAGAGAGCCUAUGGCUAAUGCAGCACUGCCCCAGCUGGCGUGUCCAUUAGGGCGCACCGGCCCGGGGGCGCAAGAUUUGAGGGAGCGGAAGGAGGGAAACGCACAGCGCUUCCUCCUGCUUGUCCCUCAGUGUAGUGUGGCGAGCUCCGCUCCGGUCCAUGGUACAGGAGCAUCCGUUUCCUGUACCUGGCCAAACUGACAGGAAGUGCUCACUCAGUGAGGAAUUCCUGUCAGUCCAGCCGGGUACAGGAAACGGAUGCUCCUGUACCGCAGACCGGACUGGAGCUCGGUCACGCUACACAGGGUAGGGGAGGAGGGUGAGGAGAAUGGGGGGAGACCACUAUGGGAGGGAGGUGGGGGGUGAGGAGAGACCACUAUGGGAGAGAGGAGGUAGAGGAGAGACCACUAUGGAAGGAAGGCGGAGGGGGGAAGAGAGACCAUAUGGGAGGGGGGGUGAGGAGAUACCACUAUGGGGGGGUGAGGAGAGACCACUAAGGGUGGGGGCAAAGGAGAGACUACUAAGGGAGGUGGGUGGAUGGAGGAGAGGCCACUAUGGGGGGGGUGAGGAGAGACCACUAGGGGAGGUAGGGGGGUGGAGUAGAGACCACUAUGAUGGAGAGGAGGAGAGACCACUAGGGGAGAGGGGGACGAGGAGAGACCACAAAGGGUGGGGGAAGAAGAUAAACCACUAAGGAUGUUGGGAGAGGAUAGACCACUAAGGCACAGGGGAGGAGAGACACUAAGGGGUGGGGGAGAGCUCUAAGGGAUGGAAGGGAGAGCUCUAAAGGAUGGGGGCAGGGGAGAGCUCUAAGGGAUGGGGGUAGGAGAGAGCACUAAGGGACACUGUGCAUAUUUUGCAUCUGUCAAUAGUACACAGUGCAUGCACCAAGGACAAGGGGGUAGGAGAGAGCUCUAAGGGAUGGGAGAGCACUAAGGGAUGGGAGAGCACUAAGGGACAGGAGGGGUGAACUCUAAGAGACAGGAGGGGAGAGCACUACGGGAAAGGGGGCAGGGAGAUCACUAGGGAGUAGGGGGGGCACAAGAGAGGAAAGACCAAUAAGGGAUGUGGUGGGGGAGAAGAGACCAAUAACGGACAGGGAAGAGCUGUAAGAGAUGGGAGGAGAGAGCUCUAAGGGGCAGGGGAGAGCUCUAAGGGAUUGUAGGCAGGGGAGAGCUCUAAGGGAUUGUAGGCAGACGAGAGCUCUAAGGGAUUGUAGGCAGACGAGAGCUCUAAGGGACAGUGGGGCAGGGGAGAGCAAUAAGGGACAGUGGGGCAGGAUACAGCAGUAAGGGACAGGAGGGGGGAACACUAAGGGAUAGGGGGCAGGGAGAUUCCUAAGGGACAUGGGAGAUCACUAAGGGACAGUGGGGCAGGGGAGAACACUAAGGGACAGGAGGGGAGAGCUCUAAGGGACAAGAGGGGAGAGAGGCUGAGAAAGGAUGGAAAGAGAUGCACAAAGGGGCUGGUAGGACUCAGCCCCUAUCCUACUCCACAAACUCUCUAUUUCACACUACACACACACACACACACACACACACACACAAUGCAUCCCUAUACAUACACAGAAACACACAGUGCAUCCCUACACACACAGAAACACACCAUGCUUCCCUUACUCACAGAGAAACACACAAUGCAUCAAUUACACACACAAUGCAGCCCUUACACACAAAGAUAAUUCACCCCUUGCACAUAUACACAGAAACACACAAUGCAUCCCUUACACACACAGAAACACACAAUGCAUCCCUUACACACACACACAAUGCAUCCCUUACACACAUCCUGAAACACACAAUGCAUCCCUUACAAAAAACACACCCUGCUUUCCAUCCCUUACACAAAAACACACUGCUUCCACUACACAUAAACACACUGCAUUACCUACACACACUUUAGAUCCUCUACAAUAACACAUAACACAUCCCCUACACACUCCACCCCCUGUGAGCGAUCUCAUGGGUGGAACAUGUAGGUGGACUUAUGGGCAUACUCACCGUCAGGCCCUGGGGGCCAGACCUUGAGCUGUGUAAAGGGCCCCCAAAAAUUGAGCUGCUUCCCAUUCUCCCAGAACAUUGAAUUUUGUGACCACAGUUACAAACAGCCUCCAGAGAUCCUGUUCUACACCAGACCAGUGGAGCCAGACUGCAGCCCAAGCCCAUCAUCAUCCUCAUCUGGUUGUAAGUAGGCAAUCUAGUAUAUUAUUAGUGACACUAAUCUCUAAUUUACCUCACAUUAAAUGGACACUAUAGUCCCUAGAACCACUGCAGCUUAAUGAAGUGGUUCUGGUGGCUAUAGCCUGUCUCUGCAGGCUUUUUAAUGUAAACACACACUGUAUGAACCACUGGCAUUAGUUCAUAUGGGUGGAGCAUUGUGAUGUCACAUGGGGUGGGGGGUGGCAAAUUUUUCUUUUGCCUAGGGCAAAAAAGAAAGAAAGAAAGAAAGACAGAGCUUUCUACAAAGCAGUAAUAUAUAUAUAUAUAUAUAUAUAUAUAUAUAUAUAUAUAUAUAUAUAUAUAAUUAUCAAUCCUUUUUUUUUAAUGGAUAGUUUAAUAAUGCAAACAGCACUAUUUUGGGCUGCUGCAUCUACUAUUCUGUAUUUUAAUUGGUUUGCCGAGCUUGACCCGUUACGCUGGUUCCGAGCACAUAUGUGCGCCAAGGCCAGUGAGAGAAAGGGGAAGGAAUGACUAAAGAUAGAGGGUUUUAAAAAAAAUAAAUAAAUACUGACAGCAACACUGGAAGGAAGAAACAAUCUUCUCCUUGUAGACGCACUGCCUGCAAGUGGUAUGAUUUCCAGUUUGCCAGUUGUCCGCAUGCACUGUGUACUGUUGACAGAUUCAAAAUAUGCACAGAGUUCACAUUGGAAGCCGCUGCCAAUGUCACGUGUGCUGGUGGUGCCUACUAGCCCCCAGCACACAUUUACAAAUAUUUUAGUAUGUGCAGUGUUUCAAACCAAAACACACACAUUCUGUCUCCUACCACCAUGACCACCUCAAAUCACUGAACAUGUCAUGGUGGUGGGAAUAACCCUUUAAAUUUGUUAUACUCUAAAUUAGUUACGUUUGUUUAUUUAAACACAGUACAGUUAUAUUGUUCAACUGGUGAACAAUGCAGAUGUAAUGACUUAGUAGACAUGCUAAACAGGUUUUUACAUGAAUGUUGUCCCAACGCAUCAACAAGACAGUCAUGCAUAUUUUUGUGACACACAAUCUGUAUGUCUGCACAUCACGAGAAAGUUAAGACCUUUGCAUGAUACUCUGCUCUCUGGCUGCGAUCAGUUUGCAGAGCUUAUAAGUAAGAAACAAACAAAUGAUAUUUAGGGACUUACACAUAAACUUGCUUUCUAUCAUGUUUCUAUGUCAUCAGCCAUUUCAGUGUUUUGUGUAAAUGGAAAAUGUAGUAACUGAAGAAAAUGAUAAUUUGAGAUUAUAAAAAGAUUAAUCCAUGGUCUGCAAUCAUAUUUGCGCAAGGUAAGUUUGUUUGUAUUACUAUAAUAGAUAUACUGACUAAGUAAAUAUGUGCGUGAAUACUUUUAUAUAAGUAGAAACAUUUCUAAUAUGUGAUUGCUUCAAGCAAUCAGUACAAGGUUCUUCCGUAUUAAAGUCAAUCCUUUGGGUACUGCUCUUUUCAUAGCAGUACAGUGAAAAUGCUCUUUUGUUAUAUUUGCAAUGAAGGCUUUUCACAGUUCUAAUGUUUUUUUUUUUAAUUUUUCAUUAAUAUGUGACAUAAUUUCAAUGUUAAUUAAUGGUUAUCACAUAUAAGAAUCUUUUUACUGUUGAUAUACAGUGUCUUGUGUUCAUAUUGGGUUUUCUUUUCUUUUUUUUAACAUUUGCUCAUUUUAUUUGUACUUGUCUAGUAUUUUGUGUUCUUACAUUUAUUUUACUUGCCAAUUUUAUUGGCAAGUUGAAAUAAAUACUCGGGAGAAAUAAUUCUGACUGAUUACAGCAUCUUUUUUGCACGUUGAAAAACGCGUCAGUGCUGUAUUUAGACAUUUAUUUAGCCAUUGGAUUUUAUUUGAUUUGAUUUGUGUUUUAUUUGUGUGUAUGGUGCUAAUAAAUUGGAUAUAUUCCUACAAGGAGGUGCUGUUAGAUUGAUGGGGAAGCAGUAAUUCCAUACAUAUCAAGCUAUCAGCUGAAUAAAGUCCAGGAGGAUUGCAGAGGAUACUGGCAAUCUGGUUAGCCAGAUUGACAGUAUCCUGUGUGUGCGCAUGCUCCUGAAUCCAGCACAGAGGCUUCUCAAUGGGAAGUCUCUGAUUGGUGUAUUCCCUGGAACACACAGAACAUCUCUGUUGGAAAAAGAGGGACGAGCUUGCAAAUGCUGCAGACAACAGGUCUGCAGCUUUUGCAAGCUGUUUUAUUUUAUCAUGUACCCACAAUGAAAACAUGCAGAACAAAUACAGGCAAUACAGGUAUAUCUACUGAAUUGUAAAAAAAAAAUGGUGGAGUAUUCCUUUACAUUUUUUUAAAUUGUAGUUGUCCACUGAGAGCUAUAAUUAUCAUUAGCUGAUAUGUUAUGUAAACUUCAUUUGGAUUCUCCUGCCUUUUGGUAUGGCUAACCAGACUCAAGGCAUCACUAGUCGGAGAGGAAUUGAACACAGAGUUAUUCACUAAAGUCAAAAUCCAGAAAAACGGAUGUCAAAAAAGUUAUAAAUUGAUUUGCAUGUCAAUAAAUGAAAUAAGUAUUUGAUCCCCUAUCAAUCAGCAAGAUUUCUAGCUCCCAGUUGUCUUUUACACAGAUAAUGAGCUGAGAUUAGGAGUACUCUCUUAAAGGGAGUGCUCCUAAUCUCAGCUUGUUACCUGUAAUCAAUCAAUCAGAUUCCAAACUCUCCACCAUAGCCAAGACCAAAGAGCUGUCCAAGGAUGUCAGGGGCAAGUUUGUAGACCUACACAAGGCUGGUAUGCAAACCAUCGUCAAGCAGCUUGGUGAGAAGGUGACAACAGUUGGUGCUAUUUUGGCAAAUGGAAGAGACACAAAAUAACUGUCAGUCUGGUGCUCCAUGCAAGAUCUCAAUGAUCAUGAGAACAGUGAGGAAUCAUCCAAGAACUACUAGGGAGGAUCUUGUUAAUGAUCUCAAGGCAGCAGGGACCAUAGUCACCAAGAAAACAGUUGGUAACAAACUUCGCCGUGAAGGACUAAAAUCCUGUGGUGCCCGCAAGGUCCACCUGCUCAAGAAAGCACAUGUACAGGCCCGUCUGAAGUUUGCCAAUGAACAUCUGGAUGAUUCAGAAUAGAACUGGGUGAAAGUGUUGUGGUCAGAUGAGACCAAAAUCGAGCUCUUUGUCAUCAACUCAGCUCGCCGUGUUUGGAGGAGGAAGAAUGCGGCAUAUGACCCCAAGAACACUAUCCCCACCAUCAAACAUGGAGGUGGAAACCUUUCUUUGGGGGUGUUUUUCUGCUAAGGGAACAGAGCAACCACACCACAUUAAAGGGACCAUGGGCAGAGGACCAUGUACCAUCAAAUCUUGGGUGAGAAUCUCCUUACCUCAGCCAGGGCAUUGAAAAUGGUUUGUGAAUGGGUAUUCCAGCAUGGCAAUGACCCAAAACACACAGCCAAGGCAAAAAAGGAGUGGCUCAGGAAGUAGCACAUUAAGGUCCUUGAGUGGCCUAGCCAGUCUACAGACCUUAAUACCAUAGAAAAUCAGUGGAUGGAGAUGAAGGUUCUAGUUGCCAAACGUCAGCCUCGAAACCUUAAUUAUUUGGAGAGGAUCUGCAAACAGGAGUGGGACAAAAUCCCUCCUGAGAUGUGUGCAAACCUGGUGGCCAACUACAAGUAACAUCUGACCUCUGUGAUUUCCUACAAGGGUUUUGUCACCAAGUACAAAGUCGAAGGGGUCAAAUACUUAUUUCACUCAUUGACAUGCAAAUCAAUUUAUUACUUUUUUGACAUGCGUUUUUUGGGAUUUUUGUUGUUGUUGUUGUUCUGUCUCUCACCGUUAAAAUACACCUACCAUUAAAAUGAUAGACUAAUCAUUUCUUUGUCAGUGGACAAACAUUUAAAAUCAGCUGGAGAUCAAAUACUUUUUACCUCAAUGUAUAAUCAUAAAAACAACUUUAGUUUAAUGAAUUAGUUUUGCUGUAUAGAUUGUGCUCUGCAGUCUCACUGCUCAAUGCUCUGACAUUUAGGAGUUAAUUCAAUUUGUUUAUACAUCUCUUGGCUGUGCAAGUAACAUCUUCCUGCAAGUGACUUGCACAGCCUUCCUAAACACAUCCUGAAAAGGAACCUAUAUAUUUUAAGCUCUGUUAUUGCACAGUCUGUUUAAUUUAGGAUUUCUUAUAUUCUGCUCUGUUAAUAGCCUUCUAUAGCCUCCUGUGAAAAUUAAACCAUUUUUUAUGCAGGCUGUGUGAGCUAUAGUCAGACAAGUUAUGGCUAGGGCUGCAUAAGCAGAAAUAGAAACAAAUGUGAUCUCAUUUCUAAAUGGCAAAAUAAUUAAGCAGCGAGGCUGCAUGGGCAUGAUCUAUAAACGGAUUAAUUAAGUUAAAGUUGUUUAGAUACUUUUAGUGUCCAUUUAAGGUUAAAAUAGCCAAAUUGAAAACUGUAAUGACUUGUCGACUGGCUUGGAAAUGUGUCAAUUUUAUAGUGACGGAUGUUGGAUGUCAUUUGUGAUUUCAUUGAUCAAGCCUUAAAGCAACAAACUCUUGCUCGUUGUUGCAUUUUGAUUGGCUGGUUAUACAAAUAUCUGUUCCUAAAAAGAGAAGUGCCCCUGGAACUCUCAAGCACAUGUUCACGUUCUGGAUUUUUGGACCCUCUACACUUUGGCUGAAAGUCAAAUUGCUGUUUCAUUACCUAUUAUUUUAUUUGUCUGGAGUUCCUUGAACAGAUUUUUGUUUAUUCAGUUUUAAAUUAUUCUAUGUAAAAUCAACCAAACAGUUUAAGGCAAAACAGAAUGAUAUAUGAUAAAACAUACGUUCUAUGGCUUGAUUUUAUUAUAAGAUAUAAACAUGUGAACUGCAUUGAAUAGCAUUUUCCCAAUAGAUACUGUAGGAGAUAUGCUCUCGGUCUUGUAAUAUGAUCCAGUUUCUAAUAGAGGUAUAAAUGUAGAAAGUUAAAGUUUCACCAUCGUCUUAAAAGAAAUAGCAGUGAAUGUUGCAUGCGUGAAAGUUCUCUUGGAUUAAAGGUGUUGCAUAUUUGUGCUGCUUUAUUAAACAAACACCUGAUGCAUCUACCAGCUCACCAGGGCUUAGCUCAAUGCAGACUGCUUCUGGAAUUCAUGAAGGAAGUGAAUACAGGUAAGUUGUGAAGCCAUUAGCAAAUGGUUUUACUUACAUCAGAGGGGCACACGGCAGUCCUAGCACCAUAACCAAAACAGUGCCUGGAGUAAUUUUGGCCAGUGUUUGUGACCAAGUGGCUACUGAAAAAGACUGGACAUUUGCAAUACCUUGGGUUAGUCUACUAUUGCAAAUGGUAUGCCAUCAUGGUGGUAAUUCUCAUUCCUGGGCUACCAUACGCUCUCAAAGGCAAAUUUCAAUGUGAAAAAAAGGAAAAAUGUAACAUGCUAUAUUUGACCCUAUAACUUCUCAAAAUGCCAUAAAAUCUGUAGAUAGGAAGUACUGUUUUACACGUGAGACAUCGCUGAAUACAAAUGUGUAUUUUAUUGCAGUAAAAGCAAACAGUAUUAUAACAUUCACAGUAAAAAUGUCACGUAGAACUAAAAAAAUAUAUUUUUAUCAAAUUUUUUUUAUAUUUUAUUCAUAUUAAAUUAUGUUUCAUACCUAAAUAUUUGAUGUUAAAUGAAAACCCUUUUUCCCCUGAAUAAAAUGAUAUAUAAUAAGGGUGGGUGCACAUAAGAUGAAAGAGGUGAAUUAUGCCUGAACAGACAUGUAGCGCAAAUGCCAGAUUUUGUUUGUUUUGUUUUGAUCACAUCGUGUACAUUUGGCUCAGUCCUUAAGGGGUUAAACAAUAUUGCAACAUAUUUAUGUGAAGGUUUAACUUAAAAGAACACUAUUGUGCUGGGAAUGUAUUGUGGCUGUUUAGGUCCCUAGCCUCCCUUAGAUUGCAAGAAAAAGGUAUUUUAUCUACCUUUUCUCCCGGGUCCCACCUCCAUGGCUGAGAUCAUCAAUGUUGAUGAUCUCAGGCAAUCCAAUGCUUACCCAAUUGCACAAAAAGAAGCAAAAUGCAGUACUGGGCCAAUCAGCAUCUCCUCAUUAGAGAUGCAUUGAAUCAAUGCAUCUCUAUGGGAAGCGGUCAGCAUCUGCAUACUUAAUUUUUUUCCUACACCGUGCGGGUUUCUCAGCAGCUGGCACUGCCUGGUCCAGAUCAAUUUGAUGAUCUCAGCCUAUUCAAUACUUUCCCAUUGGAAAAAUGCCAUGCUGUGCCAGUCAGUAGCUCCUCCUAGAGAUGUGUUGCAUCAGUGCAUGUCCAUAGGGAGAGUUCAGUGUCUCCAUGCAGAGCAUUGCAACGCAUAGUGCAGCACUGAGAUAGGAAGCACUUGUAGUGGCCAUCUGAUUGACAGCCACUAGAGGUGUUACUACUCAGCAAUGUAAACACUGACUUUUCUCUGAAUGUUUGUAUUGAAAAGCCUGUUAGAUACUAUAGUGUCCCUUUAAAUUUUAUAACUUGCUUUCAAAUAAGUUAGGUCAGUAUUAGGCUUUGAGUGAACUCCUGAACUACAUGUGAUACUCUAAAAAUUUGAAUAUCGUGCAAAAGUUCAUUUAUUUCAGUAAUGCAACGUAAAAGGGGAAACCAAUAUAUGAGAUACACAUUACAUGCAAAGCAAGAUGGUUCAAGCUGUGAUGUCAUAAGUGCGAUGAUUAUGGUUUACAGCUCAUGAAAACCCCAAAUCCACAAUCUCAGUAAAUUAGAAUAUUGUAAGAUGCAAUAUUCUAUCUAGGCUCACAGUGUCCCACUCUAAUCAGCUAAGUAAGCCAUAACACCUGCAAAGGGUUUCUGAGCCUUUACAUGCUCUCUGUCUGGUUCAGUAGGAAUCACAAUCAUGGGGAAGACUGCUGACACUUGUGCAGAAAACCAUCAUUGACACCCUCCAUAAGGAGGGAAAGCCUCAAAAAGUAAUUGCGAAGGAAGUUGGAUGUUUCCAAAGUGCUGUAUCAAACCCAAUUAAUAGAAAGGGGGAAACGUGUGGAAGAAAAAGGUACACAAGCAGCAGGGAUGACCGCAACAUGGAGAGGAUUGUCAGGAAAAGGCCAUUCAAAUGUGUUGGGCACUUUCACAAGGAAUGGACUGAGGCUGGAGUCAGUGCAUCAAGAGCCACCACACACAGAUGGAUCCUGGACAUGGGCUUCAGAUGUUGUAUUCCUCUUGUCAAGCCGCUCCUGAACAACAAACAACGUCAGAAGCGUCUUACCUGGGCUAAAGAAAAACAGACCUGGUCUGUUGCUCAGUGGUCCAAAGUCCUCUUUUCUGAUGAAAGCAACUUUUGCAUCUCAUUUGGAAACCAAGGACCCAGAGUCUGGAGGAAGAAUGGAGAGGCACACACUCCAAGAUGCUUGAAGUCCAGUGUGAAGUUUCCACAGUCUGUGUUGAUUUGGGGAGCCAUGUCAUCUGCUGGUGUUGGUCGACUGUGUUUCAUUAAGUCCAGGGUCAACGCAGCCAUCUACAAGGAGAUUUUGGAGCACUUCAUGCUUCCUUCCACAGACAAGCUUUAUGGGGAUGCUGACUUAAUUUUCCAGCAGGAAAGCACCAAAGCCUGGUUAAAUGACCGUGGGAUUACUGUGCUUGAUUGGCCAGCAAACUCGCCUGACCUGAACCCCAUAAAGAAUCUAUGGGGCAUUGCCAAGAGAAAGAUGAGAGACAUGAGACCAAACAAUGCAUAAGAGCUGAAGGCCGCUAUUGAAGCAUCCAGGUCUUCCAUAACAGCUCAGCAGUGCCACAGGCUGAUAGCUUCCAUGCCACGCCGCAUUGAGGUAGUAAUUGCUGCAAAAGGGGCCCAAAACAAGUACUGAGUCCAUAUCCAUGCUUAUACUUUUCAGAGGUCCGAUAUUGUUCUAUGUACACUCCUUGUUUUAUUGAUUGCAUGUAAUAUUCUAAUUUACUGAGAUUGUGGAUUUGGGGUUUUCAUGAGCUGUAAGCCAUAAUCAUAGCACUUAUGACAAAUCACAGCUUUAACUAUCUUGCUUUGCAUUUACUGCGUCUAUCUCAUAUAUUAGUUUCCCCCUUUACGUUGCAUUACUGAAAUAAAUGAACUUUUGCACGAUAUUCUAAUUUUUCAAGUAUCACCUGUAAUUCCCAACUAUUUCCAAGUUAAAUACUUCGAUUUGCAUGAGUUACUAACUCUCUUUCUCUGUCUCUCUACAAAAGUAGAUAAAUAAAAUUAAUAUAUGUGUAUAUAUAUGUGUAUAUAUAUAUGUGUGUAUAUAUAUAUAUAUAUAUGUAUAUAUAUGUAUAUAUAUGUAUAUAUAUGUAUAUAUGUGUAUAUAUGUAUAUGUGUGUAUAUAUAUAUUUAUUGUUAAAAAAAAAGAAGAAAAAAACAAUUAGGAGUCCUUAACGUGUGUUAAGUGGAGUGAAGGUUAAAGAGACACUAUAGUUCCCAGAACAACUACAGCUUAAUGUAAUGGUUCUGGUGUCUACAACCUGUCCCUGCAGGCAAUUUAAUGUUAAUGCUGUGCUUUCAGAGAAGAGUCAGUGUUUACAUUACUGCCUAGUAACAACUCUAGUGGCAACCACUCAUACGUUACACGUUCCUGUUAGUGCUGCACAGUGUGUAGCAUUGGCGUUCACACACUGCAUAACGACACUGAACGUUCCUCAUAGAUAUAAAAUGAUUCAAUGCAUCUCUAUGAGGAGAUGCUAAUUGCUGCAGCGCAGCACUUUACUAUGCAUGCGCAAUAGCCUCCUAAUGCUUUCCUAUGGGAAAACACUGGGCUGGCUGAGAUCAUCAAGUUUUAUGAUGAUUAUUUAGAGAGUAAACUCAGUUACUGCAAGGAAAGGGAGCUGGAGAUCUAAAUAGUUAUUUUACCACUAUAUUGUCUGUAAUACAUGUUUGUGUUCAUGACACUAUAGUGUUCCUUUAAUAAAUAAUUCACGUGUAUUUGCAGUUGCCUCAUACUCUUUGAAAUUAGUAUAAAAUUGUGUCCUUUAGUGUCUGAAUCUUUCUGAAUCCUUGCAUACAUACUAUUCUGUACAACAAAGAAUGAUGUUUUUGAUUCUAAACUCUGAUCUUAGAUCCCCUCUAUAAUAUUGUAUUUUCUUACAAUUGCAAGUUAACAUAUUUGACACCCUUUGUUUCAUUCCUGUAUCUCUGAGCUUAAUUGCGUCAAAUAUGUUUUCUUUACGCAUUGAACAGCAUAUAGAAUAAAUUUUCCACUAUACAAAUGGCAUUUUAUAAAUAUCUAUAAUUCAAUAUAUGGAGUGUAGUUAAUCUGUUUCCUUGACAAUCGGUUAAAUUAAAUUAUUAUGUGGUUUUUUAUGUUUAAAGUUAUUAGUGUCAAUUAGUGCUUGUAGUUGGUUUUAGAUAUUACAUUUCCGUCACUUUCAUGCACACACAUUAAUAAUAAUAUUAUUUAAACUAUGAUUCAUCAAAUCCUGCGUUUGAGAACUAAUAUAGAUUCCAAUUAUAGAUCUAAUAAAAAAAACACUGAAAUAAUUCUAGAAAUGUAUUGAAUUUGCAUUCUGUGCUUCUACUAAACCAAAAAGAGAAUAGAAAUGCUUUUACAUCUUUAUUCUAUGCCAUCAAUUCAAACGACACCCGAGAGACGGCCAAAACAUAAAUCAAUAUAAAAAAAGAUUUACUUACAGUGCAUGUUUAUACACAGGAAAACUGCAUGACUAGUAAUAAUCUUGGUUCAAUGCCAUUUUAAUAGGUGUCAAUAUGAUGACAGGCCCCUUCUGGUUGAGUUAAAGGAACACUCCUGGCACUAUAACAACUUCCUCAUCCUUCUACUUUUCUCAGAUUCUUCAGUAAACAGUAAAAGCAGACUACCUUGGACUGGGGCGCCGCUGAUUCCCAUAUGUAAGUUUCCCAAGCCGAUUGGUGAAUGUGGAACUACUAAUUGGCUUAGAGCAUCAACUGAUGCUCUCAGCCAAUUAGCUGAGAGCAGUUACAUUUGGUGGUUAAAACAUUCCGGGGGUCUUCCUGGCACCAUAGCAACUUAAGUACAAUUAAGCUGCUAUGGUUCUUGAAAGUUCCCUUUAAUUUUCGCUGCAUAUAGGUAAAUUAGAUAAAUGCAAUUUUCCAGUCUACUAUAAUUCUAACAAGGUAUUAAAUGAACUCCACAAAAAUAGCAGUUUAGCAAAUAUACCCCCUGUAAUAAAAAUAAAUAAGCAUGCUUUUCUUUCAGGGGUAUAUUGUAUCUUUGCUUGCAAUAGCUGCAGCUCCAGCAUUGAAAUCGGUAUUUUUAUAAAAUGAAACAAAGGGAAUAUUCACUACACACACAAAGCACUUCAGCAAGCUGAAUUGGUUUAUGUAUUUGGAGUGUUCCUUUAAAAUGUAAAAUAACUUCUGUAUGAAGCAGGCCAGCUCUUAUUAUUCAGGGACAUUGGAUAAUUAUUCGAUUGCAUCUGUCUAUAGUACCUCUUAUUUAGAGGCUGUGCAGAAUGCAAAAUUGGCUCUUCAAAUUCCAAGGUAAUGCUAGGACCAAUUUAUUCAAUAUCCUUCAUGUAUUUUGUAUUCCUUUCUUUCCACCCAUACUAUUCCCACUAAGCCUGUUUAUAUUUUUAGAGUAGGGGGAAGGGGCUGAAAAAUCACAAGCAGUGCCGACAGGGUCUGUCUCUCUGGCUGCUUGUAUAGUGGUGUCAUGUGUCCAUCCAGUAACCUUUUUGAUAGAUCAUGCUCCUCUCCUGAAAUUGAUUCUAGUAAAUGUAAUAUGUAUCAUGCUAAGUAUGAAAGCAUCAUGCAUACGGCAUUAUGAUAGGAUUAAACUGUUUCUAGACUCAUUGACCUUGGCUUGUUACUUUGACUAUUCUACUGCUUUUUGUUCCAACCAUUUUGCCUAAUAUAAGCCUUCCAUUAAGUCUGACCACUCUAAAGACGCACGUAUGCACACUUUAAAAUCUUCCCCAAACCUAAAGUCCUUUAAGAGAUCCCUCUCUACAUACCUCAAAAAAGAAUGCACCUGUCAUGGUUGAUUAUAUAUUUCCUACCUGUUCUAUGUUACAUUUUGUAUAUAUUGUGUAUUAAUAUUGUUUUUGUAUUUUAUUGUGCCCUAAUGUAUCAAUGCAAUGUUUUGUGGACCCAGGACAUACUUGAAAACGAGAGAAAUCUCAAUGUAUCUUUCCUGGUAAAAUAUUUUAUAAAUGAAUAAAUCUGGAUUUUUCUGCUUUUGGGGAAUUUCAUAGGAUUCAAGCCCUGUGUGUUGGUCACCCUUACUUAUUUUGGUAGAGGCUAAACAUUUAUCUGCUUAUUCAAGUAAAAUGUCAAAGGUAUAGCUUUUCCCUGAUGGCUGGGCUAGAUGUCAAAUCAAAAAGGCAACUGGCAUAUGUUAGCCUAUGUGCCUGGGUUCCAAUAGUAGUGUUCAAGCUACAUAUACUCUAUGUAUAUAAUCUCAUAUAAAUGUCUUUUAUAAAUGUUUUAUGCUGAUACUUAAAAUCAUUGUAAUUUAAUUAUUGGAAAUGUUUCUUAUAUUUUAAGAGAAACCUAUUUCUAAAAUAUUUACAGCAAAGGUUUGCACUGCCAAGUGGUUGUUUCUGAGGUUCUCAACCAUACCCAUUAAUACAGGUAUAGUCUGCAGGUGUGUUCAAAACAAGCAACACAUGUUUUUCUUGAUCCUAUAGAUGCAUCCUGAAAAUGAGGGGAAAACUAUCCUGGAUGGAAUAAUCUGCAUUAGUGCUUUUUAAACUAGUAUUCAUCUAUUUCACCAUAGCUAUGACCUGGACUCCUCAUGUCUUGGUUUCAGGAAAUGGUAAAGUCCAAUGUAUCCAUUUUAGAUUGCUGCUUUGUAAUUUUUAACAUGGUACUCUAAUUCAAACCUACUUUGUGAAUGCUAAACGAGAAAGUAAAGGUUCUGUUCUAAAAAGUGGUAUAAAGCAUUAAACAUGGGGCAAUUAUCUUGGACACCAGCGGAACCAGCAUGCACAUUCCAUUAGUGAAUCCUUCUUAGAACAGAACACUGUGAUAAAUAACCCCUUUUGUCUCUAGUACACAUAUCACCAAGGCAAGCUGCUCUGAAUAUAAACAUAUAGUCACAGCAGCUUGCGAUUAUGAUAUUUAUUUAUUGAAUUAUUUAUAUUUUGCGGACAAUGCCCUCAAUGUAUUACUUAGACUAGUGUUUCUAUAAUGUUUCUUUUAAUUACAUAUUGCCUACAUGUAACUUUCCUUUCAAAAGUGUAAAAAAAAAAUCAAUUAGGG